GCCUUUUAGGCGACACUCGGGCAUACACACAUACAGAUAACAUCGCCGCCGUCACCACGACAUACAUUCACACACAUACACAUAUUUCAUAUACACAAACACACACACACACACACAUGCACACACGUACUUGCUAUCUCUAUCUCUCUGGAUACACGCACAGCGAUGCAGUGCUCUGCGUCGCAUCUUCGUGCACAUGUGCAUAAAUUCCCACACAUGCAAUCAAGCUCGCUUAUUGAUCUAUUUUUUUUUCGUUUGACUUUUGCCUGCCCUUCACCACGUACGCGCGGCAAAUCUGCCUGGGGGGGGGCGAAAAAAUGACGAAGAUAACAGCAAGAGACUGACGCUACGGACUCUUCCGGCCCAUUUCUUCACUGUUCCUCGCUCUCUCUGCUUCUGUGAAUGCCGACUUUGGGGCAAGGACGCGUUGGAGGCGGAGGGAGGAGCUUCUCAUCUGCGUCCGCGCCUCCACACAGCAGUAUGCAUUUUCAUUCGUUGAAACGCUCUUGUUGGGGGAUCGCUGCGCACACGAGGGGCGAGAGGAAGACGGGGAGGGAGGUGAGACGCAUCCGCACCUCCUCACCUCUCCCUUCCACCGCUGCCCCCAUCAUCACCGGCUUGUCUGUGGUUGCAUUGCAUUUUUGGUUUCCGGGAUGCUCAUCGACGUCAGUUUCUUCCCUGCGGCUGCUUCCUCCUCAAGAUUUGGAUUUCCCUGUCCAUGGAGAGCCCCUUCUGACUCGCCGCUUUUUCGUGGGGCUGCUCUCGUGCUCCUGCUUCUGACUAUCUCGCAAUGCCCGACGCAGAAGGUGAGGGCAUCCGAGGAGCUUUCUUACCCAUUGCGCCCACGCGCUGCCAAGCGCACCACAACGGACGUCCAUUUGAGGAGAGCAGAUAUGCGGAGGACUGCAGAAAGCGUGGAGACGUCGACUGGGCUGUCGAACUCUCUUCCGGAGGUCUCCUCGCACCACCUACAAGCUUCGUGAUCUCAAGUCGGCCUUCUCUUGCGGCGCGAUGGCAGCAAGGGGUGCAUCGGAGCCAGAACACGGCGAUGUGGUGUGUUUUGCUCGGCUUCUGCCGACGUACUGGUUCAUCUUCCGAUGUGCGCACAAGCGCGGUUUCCUUCGUAUGCGUGUGGAGUGUGUCUGUGGCGCGGCGUUCGCAGGUUGCCUGAACACUCGUGGACACAGACUCAAGGAUUUUCCGCAUUCGCAUCCUGGAUGUUUGGCACGCGAGUGGAAAGCUCUCCCGUUUCCCCGCCCGCCCCCGACGCCACUCCUGUACAGGCCUGUGCAUCUUCUUGUCACCCUUGUUUUCUCAUUGCAAUUUCCAAGCGUAAAGGUGUCCACGUGUGUGCAUGUGGAUGUGCAUGAGUGUGUGUGUACGUGCGUAUGUGUACGUGUACGUGUGUGCGGGUGUAUUUUUUUUUUUCGUUUCUUCUUGUCUUUCGUGUUUUCCCCUCGAUUCUUGUCUUGUUGCGUUUUGCCUCUCUAACUUGCGUUUUCCAAACGAACAAGCCAACAAAGCCCCUCCUCCUCCUCCAAAUAAAAAGAAUAAAGGGAUACACAUAAAGCCUCCCUCCCCACCCCCACCCCUCAAGCACCACCUGUAGCACCAAUGCAUCGUCGCCUUUACUGAAGAGGCCCUUGGCAAGAUACCUAAAAAUUCAUCAGAAGGAAAACAAG
rnacentral:misc_RNA from 1 species